rnacentral:rRNA from 1 species
GAUGAACGCUAGCUACAGGCUUAACACAUGCAAGUCGAGGGGCAGCAUGAAAGUUUGCUUGCAAACUUUUGAUGGCGACCGGCGCACGGGUGAGUAACACGUAUCCAACCUGCCUCAUACUCGGGGAUAGCCUUUCGAAAGAAAGAUUAAUACCCGAUGUCAUAGUCCUACCGCAUGAUGGGACUAUUAAAGAAUUUCGGUAUGGGAUGGGGAUGCGUUCCAUUAGUUAGUUGGCGGGGUAACGGCCCACCAAGACUACGAUGGAUAGGGGUUCUGAGAGGAAGGUCCCCCACAUUGGAACUGAGACACGGUCCAAACUCCUACGGGAGGCAGCAGUGAGGAAUAUUGGUCAAUGGACGAGAGUCUGAACCAGCCAAGUAGCGUGAAGGAUGACUGCCCUAUGGGUUGUAAACUUCUUUUAUAUGGGAAUAAAACGUUCCACGUGUGGGAUUUUGUA